AGCAGCCGCGGUAAUUCCAGCUCCAAUAGCGUAUAUUAAAGUUGUUGCAGUUAAAAAGCUCGUAGUUGAAUUUCGGGAUCAAUAUUUCGGUCAUGCCGUUGGUAUGCACUGUUAUCAUUGAUUUCUCACCUUCUAAAGAACCGUAAUGCCAUUAAUUUGGUGUUACGGGGAAUUAGGACUGUUACCUUGAAAAAUUAGAGUGUUUAGAGCAGGCUCACGCUUGAAUACAUUAGCAUGGAAUAACGAAAUAGGACGUUUGAUUCUAUUUUGUUGGUUUCUAGGAUCGACGUAAUGAUUAAUAGGGAUAGUUGGGGGCAUUAGUAUUCAAUUGUCAGAGGUGAAAUUCUUGGGUUUAUUGAAGACUAACUACUGCGAAAGCAUUUACCAAGGAUGUCUUCAUUAAUCAAGAACGAAAGUUAGGGGAUCGAAGACGAUCAGAUACCGUCGUAG
rnacentral:rRNA from 1 species